rnacentral:snRNA from 1 species
GAAUAAGAGGGCCAUCUGGCCAGAGCAUCUGUUCCUAAACUGGUUGCCAGGAUUGUUUCCACUGAUCUGACUGGCUAAGUAGGUGUCCCUUUCCUCCUUAUGCCACCGCCUCCCAAAGUUGAUGUAUGGAAUGGAGUCUUGCUGAUCUUUGGUCAAAGUUAUCUGAGUCCUGAGACUUGCUUGCUGGAACCUCAAAACAAGUGCUCUCCUCACAAGGAGCAUCCACAGUAAUGCCUUUUCUGCCUACCUCUAAUCAUUGUUGUGAAAAUAAAAUCUAAUAAUAGAU